GGGUCAAUGUUGACACGGAAACUUGUCUUGAAGACAGGUGAUGACAUAAAAAUCAUGCUCAGUAGGAUUACGCUGAGGUCC